ACUCCUACGGGAGGCAGCAGUGGGGAAUAUUGCACAAUGGGCGCAAGCCUGAUGCAGCCAUGCCGCGUGUAUGAAGAAGGCCUUCGGGUUGUAAAGUACUUUCAGUCGUGAGGAAGGGUGGUAUGUUAAUAGUCAUACUCAUUUGACUGUUAGCUGCAGAGAAGCACCGCUAACUCCGUGCCAGCAGCCGCGGUAAUACGGAGGGUGCGAGCGUUAAUCGGAAUUACUGGGCGUAAAGCGCAUGCAGGUGGUUUGUUAAGUCAGAUGUGAAAGCCCGGGGCUCAACCUCGGAAUUGCAUUUGAAACUGGC
rnacentral:rRNA from 1 species